CCUAAAAAUAAAACUGCCAGUUAUUUUACCAGCAAAAACAGGUUUAUUUGGAAUAGCAGAUAACUGCAAUCUGGGACAAGCAAGCUGUGGCAAAACCGCAGACAAAUCCAGAGGACAAAGGUAAGGAACGGACUGCUCUUUUACGGAGGAAAAGGGGGGAGCAGGGAGGGCUGUUCUAGGCAAAAAGUCCAUUGGAAUAAACUGGGAGUUCCAAGUAUAGGGGCCUUUCCUUGGCUGAGCUGUGACAGAAUCCCAUUGGCUGGGCUGUUGCGGGAGCGGAAGGAAAAACCUUCUUCCUCCUGCUGGGAUAGUAAAGUAGAAGCUAAGGCGUUACCAGCUCGCAAGCUACCCCUCUUCCCAUUGGGUCUGCAAUUAACCAAGGGUGGCCUGGCGUGAGAGGUCCCCGCCCCCUGCUGGCUCCUGACUCUGUUUUAAACCAGCUUUCCUUUUAUUAAUUUUCUUCGGGGUCAAUGAGAGAGAGGCCUUGCCGAGAGGGGUGUAAGUCUCUACCUGCUAAACGGAAGAGGAGCUGACCACCACCAGGUUAAGAAAAAAAUACACAUAUAUUACAAGAUGGGUGCCGUCAUGAUUGAAGAGUUUACAUCCAAAGUGGUUCUGAUCGGCUGAUUGUUUCUCCUGCUGCUGCCCAGGUGCGGAAGCAAACAGGCAAAAGCAGGUGGUAGACAUGACCCACAAUCAGGAUUCUCGAAGGCGAUGGAGAUAAAAGGAAAAUCUGCCCUCUCAGAGGAUAAUCAUAUAAAUGAAGAAAGAGUUAUAUCAGAGGUGGUGGACAUUUGGAUUAUUUCCAGUCUGGGGCUAUUGUGAAUAAAGCUACCAUGAACAUCUGAGUAUAAAUCUUUGAGCAGACAGAUAUUUUCAUCACAUCUCUUGGGUAAAUAUCUAGCAUUGAGAUCGUUGGGAUGUAUGCAAAGGAAUAAUGAAGAAUGUCAAGAAUACUCCAUAACCUUUGAAGAGGCUAACAAAAUGUCACACCAGUAUGGCACAUAUCUACAGAGCAAAUUACCGUUCUCUAAAGCAGAAGGGAUCCUUAACGGACUCAAAGGCCGUGAAAUCAGAAGCAUGGCAUGUUUAGAGCAAUGCAAGAGCCUCCAUUAUACACUAAUUCAAUCUCUUCACUUUACAGGAGCAAAGCAGUGUGGAUCUCUCUUUCUGCCCUAAGGAGACUCUGCCUCGAUGCGGCUGGUGUGUGUCUUGUCCUCUCCCUGCUGGAGCCCCGCUAAGUCAUGGAGAACACUUACUGUUCCUGCCUGGGAAUCCCAGCUGCCCAGUCUUCCCUGACCGGACACCCGAUGUACUAUAAGUGAGCCAUAGGGUUUCAUCUCCAUGGAGUCAGGCUGUAACUGUGCCAGACUUUAUCCUCCUACACCCCAGGGAAAGCCUCCCAGACUAGGCCUUCAAAAGGAGGGAGUCUGAUAUAAAUGCCCCCCUCUCCUUCUUCAACCUCUCUCUAGCUAAUGUAGUCUGUCUUUGAAGCCCCCAGUUGGGUGUCCCCAUGCCCACCCAUCCCUCAGGAAAACCCUGCCCUCCCCGUAGGAGGACGUUCCUCCCCUCGGACUUUGGUAGGGACUUGCAAACUUGAGCACCCGAGAGGCUGUGCUUUGCUUAGUCACAGUUGACCCUGGGAGGGCGAGGAUCAUCCCCAGUGUUUGAUGUCUUUGGCAUCCUUAGAAAUGUCCCUAAAAAGCAAUGCACACCUCUCUAAGGUGUGAAACAGGGUGCUGUCGAAAAAAACCACCAGAUGCCCAACAGAAGCAAGGCAAGAUUUUAUCCACGGCCUGGCCAAACCUGAUAUCCCGAUCUUAAGGAGAAAAGUGCCGAGAAUGGCCCCGAACAAAGGUAGCAGUGAGCUUAUAUGGAUUUUAGCAAGUCAGAAUACGUCAUUAUUUAGUUAACCAAUUACAAUUUACAACAUUUCAUGGUAGCCAAUUAUACUGUGACACACAGACGUUAGUUUUGGCGGGAACCUAUCAAUUUAAAGUUCUUUGUCCUAAGAGGAUUUAAAGUGACCAAUCAUAGUUAGACACCUAAGAUACCAUGGGGCAGUGAGUUCGUGACUUUUUACAUGUUGGUCUUGCCUAGGCCAGAUCUGGGUAGAAGGAGUGGGGGAGCGUUUUGCCACCUAAGUUAUCCAUUUAGCAAGCAGGCGAAGUUACAGAAGCGAGAUGGGGUGGUUAGUAAUAUUCGAUAACCCUAAUAGGGAACUACAUAAGCUUUUAUCUCAUUAUUCAUGAAAGGUGAGUUUAAGCCGAACUUACAUACAAUAAGCUUUCUGAUAUCUUAUAAGUUGAUCUAUUACAAGGUGAGCAGUUUUUUUCUCAACUACGAUCACAUACAAGGGAAGGAUUAUUCUUCUUGGAAAUGGUACAUAUUUGACAAAUUGCAAAAGAGUAAUUGUGUUGAGAAAGAAUAGCUUCUGUCCCUUAGAUCUAGCUCACAUGACCAGAGGUGUAGAUGGCUCUCUUUCCCAUCCUCAGGGGUGGUGCCAGCUCUACUUAGAGCCUUCUUUAUUAUAGACCUCCUCCUCCUAGACUAGCUAGAAGGUGAAAGUUUUCCCAACCAUUUAGCAGUCUACAGAGGGAGGAGGUGAGAACUACGUGACAGAGAGGAGAGGAAUGGAGGGGAGAUGCACAGUGACAGUCAAAAUGCCA